AGAGUUUGAUCCUGGCUCAGGAUGAACGCUAGCGACAGGCCUAACACAUGCAAGUCGAGGGGCAGCGGGGAGGUAGCAAUACCUUUGCCGGCGACCGGCGCACGGGUGAGUAACACGUAUGCAAUCCACCUGUAACAGGGGGAUAACCCGGAGAAAUCCGGACUAAUACCCCAUAAUAUGGGCGCUCCGCAUGGAGAGCCCAUUAAAGAGAGCAAUCUUGGUUACAGACGAGCAUGCGCUCCAUUAGCCAGUUGGCGGGGUAACGGCCCACCAAGGCGACGAUGGAUAGGGGUUCUGAGAGGAAGGUCCCCCACAUUGGAACUGAGACACGGUCCAAACUCCUACGGGAGGCAGCAGUGAGGAAUAUUGGUCAAUGGACGAGAGUCUGAACCAGCCAAGUAGCGUGAAGGAUGAAGGUCCUACGGAUUGUAAACUUCUUUUAUAAGGGAAUAAAACCUCCCACGUGUGGGAGCUUGUAUGUACCUUAUGAAUAAGCAUCGGCUAACUCCGUGCCAGCAGCCGCGGUAAUACGGAGGAUGCGAGCGUUAUCCGGAUUUAUUGGGUUUAAAGGGAGCGCAGACGGGUCGUUAAGUCAGCUGUGAAAGUUUGGGGCUCAACCUUAAAAUUGCAGUUGAUACUGGCGUCCUUGAGUGCGGUUGAGGUGUGCGGAAUUCGUGGUGUAGCGGUGAAAUGCUUAGAUAUCACGAAGAACUCCGAUUGCGAAGGCAGCCUGCUAAGCUGCAACUGACAUUGAGGCUCGAAAGUGUGGGUAUCAAACAGGAUUAGAUACCCUGGUAGUCCACACGGUAAACGAUGAAUACUCGCUGUUUGCGAUAUACGGCAAGCGGCCAAGCGAAAGCGUUAAGUAUUCCACCUGGGGAGUACGCCGGCAACGGUGAAACUCAAAGGAAUUGACGGGGGC
rnacentral:rRNA from 1 species